UGUGUGUGUGUGUGUGUGUGUGUGUGUGUGUGUGUAUAUACACAUAUAUGUACACACACACACACACACACACUCA
rnacentral:miRNA from 1 species